rnacentral:rRNA from 1 species
AGACAGCUAGGAUGUUGGCUUAGAAGCAGCCAUCAUUUAAAGAAAGCGUAAUAGCUCACUAGUCGAGUCGGCCUGCGCGGAAGAUGUAACGGGGCUCAAACCAGGCACCGAAGCCGCGGAUUCACGCUAAGCGUGAGUGGUAGGGGAGCGUUCUGUAAGUCUGCGAAGGUGUAUCGAGAGGUAUGCUGGAGAUAUCAGAAGUGCGAAUGCUGACGUAAGUAACGAUAAAGGGGGUGAAAAGCCUCCUCGCCGGAAGACCAAGGGUUCCUGUCCAACGUUAAUCGGGGCAGGGUGAGUCGACCCCUAAGGUGAGGCCGAAAGGCGUAAUCGAUGGGAAGCAGGUUAAUAUUCCUGCACGACUUGUAAUUGCGAUGGGGGGACGGAGAAGGCUAGGUGGGCCAGGCGACGGUUGUCCUGGUGAAAGUGCGUAGGUGGUGUUUCUAGGCAAAUCCGGAGACACAACACUGAGACACGAGACGAACGCACCACGGUGCGGAAGCCAUUGAUGCCCUGCUUCCAGGAAAAGCCUCUAAGCUUCAGAUUACAAGUCAUCGUACCCCAAACCGACACAGGUGGUCGGGUAGAGAAUACCAAGGCGCUUGAGAGAACUCGGGUGAAGGAACUAGGCAAAAUAGAACCGUAACUUCGGGAGAAGGUUCGCUCUUGAUGGUGAAGUCCCUUGCGGAUGGAGCUGUCGGGAGUCGCAGUGACCAGAUGGCUGGGACUGUUUAUCAAAAACACAGCACUCUGCAAACACGAAAGUGGACGUAUAGGGUGUGACACCUGCCCGGUGCCGGAAGGUUAAUUGAUGGGGUUAGCGCAAGCGAAGCUCUUGAUCGAAGCCCCGGUAAACGGCGGCCGUAACUAUAACGGUCCUAAGGUAGCGAAAUUCCUUGUCGGGUAAGUUCCGACCUGCACGAAUGGUGUAACCAUGGCCAUGCUGUCUCCACCCGAGACUCAGUGAAAUCGAAUUCGCCGUGAAGAUGCGGUGUACCCGCGGCUAGACGGAAAGACCCCGUGAACCUUUACUACAGCUUGGCACUGAACAUUGAACCUACAUGUGUAGGAUAGGUGGGAGGCUUUGAAGGCGUGACGCCAGUUGCGCUGGAGCCGUCCUUGAAAUACCACCCUUGUAUGUUUGAUGUUCUAACGCAGGGCCCUGAAUCGGGCUCGCGGACAGUGCCUGGUGGGUAGUUUGACUGGGGCGGUCUCCUCCCAAAGAGUAACGGAGGAGCACGAAGGUUGGCUAAUCCUGGUCGGACAUCAGGAGGUUAGUGCAAUGGCAUAAGCCAGCUUAACUGCGAGACGGACAGGUCGAGCAGGUACGAAAGUAGGUCAUAGUGAUCCGGUGGUUCUGAAUGGAAGGGCCAUCGCUCAACGGAUAAAAGGUACUCCGGGGAUAACAGGCUGAUACCGCCCAAGAGUUCAUAUCGACGGCGGUGUUUGGCACCUCGAUGUCGGCUCAUCACAUCCUGGGGCUGAAGUCGGUCCCAAGGGUAUGGCUGUUCGCCAUUUAAAGUGGUACGCGAGCUGGGUUCAGAACGUCGUGAGACAGUUCGGUCCCUAUCUGCCGUGGGCGUUGGAUGAUUGAAGGGAGUUGCUCCUAGUACGAGAGGACCGGAGUGAACGAACCUCUGGUGUUCGGGUUGUCACGCCAGUGGCACUGCCCGGUAGCUAAGUUCGGAAUCGAUAACCGCUGAAAGCAUCUAAGCGGGAAGCGAGCCCUGAGAUGAGUCAUCCCUGACCCCUUGAGGGUCCUAAAGGGCCGUUGGAGACCACAACGUUGAUAGGUGGGGUGUGUAAGCGUAGCGAUACGUUGAGCUAACCCAUACUAAUUACCCGUGAGGCUUAACCAU